GCGAUCAUACCAGCACUAAUGCACCGGAUCCCAUUAGAACUCCGAAGUUAAGCGUACUUGGGCGAGAGUAGUACUAGGAUGGGUGACCCCCUGGGAAGUCCUCGUGUUGCAACCC
rnacentral:rRNA from 1 species